rnacentral:rRNA from 1 species
AAUGAACGCUGGCGGCGUGCCUAACACAUGCAAGUCGUACGAGAAAUCCCGAGCUUGCUUGGGAGAGUAAAGUGGCGCACGGGUGAGUAACGCGUGGGUAACCCACCUUCGAAUUUGGGAUAACUCCGCGAAAGCGGUGCUAAUACCGGAUAAGACCACAGCCGUUUCGGCGGCAGAGGUAAAAGCUGACCUCUCCAUGGAAGUUAGCGUUCGAAGACGGGCCCGCGUCCUAUCAGCUUGUUGGUGGGGUAAAGGCCUACCAAGGCAGCGACGGGUAGCUGGUCUGAGAGGAUGAUCCGCCACACUGGAACUGAAACACGGACCAGACUCCUACGGGAGGCAGCAGUGAGGAAUAUUGCGCAAUGGGGGCAACCCUGACGCAGCGACGCCGCGUGGAUGAUGAAGGCCUUCGGGUUGUAAAAUCCUGUCAGAUGGGAAGAAGUGUGUAGUACUUAAUACGUGCUACAUUUGACGGUACCAUCAAAGGAAGCACCGGCUAACUCCGUG